rnacentral:rRNA from 1 species
CCUACGGGUGACUGCAGUGGGGAAUAUUGCACAAUGGGGGAAACCCUGAUGCAGCGACGCCGCGUGAGUGAAGAAGUAUUUCGGUAUGUAAAGCUCUAUCAGCAGGGAAGCAGAAAGACGGUACCUGACGAAGAAGCCCCGGCUAACUACGUGCCAGCAGCCGCGGCAAUACGUAGGGGGCCAGCGUUAUCCGGAAUUACUGGGGGUAAAGGGAGCGUAGGCGGCUGUGCAAGUCUGAAGUGAAAGCCCAGGGCUCAACCCUGGGACUGCUUUGGAAACUGUGGAGCUGGAGUGCUGGAGAGGUAAGUGGAAUUCCUAGUGUAGCGGUGAAAUGCGUAGAUAUUAGGAGGAACACCAGUGGCGAAGGCGGCUUACUGGACAGUAACUGACGUUGAGGCUCGAAAGCGUGGGGAGCAAACAGGAUUAGAUACCCUGGUAGUC